GGCUGGUCCAAAAGUACCAAGUUAUCUCAAUUGAUUAUUCACAGUUACAGAUUGAACUCCUUGUUCUACUCUUUCCCCUCUUUUCACUACCGCACUUGAAUUGUCUUAA
ensembl:misc_RNA Y_RNA Y RNA